GUUUAUGGCCAUACCACCCUGAACACGCCCGAUCUCGGAAGCUAAGCAGGGUCGGGCCUGGUUAGUACUUGGAUGGGAGACCGCCUGGGAAUACCAGGUGCUGUAAGCU
rnacentral:rRNA from 1 species